UACGUAGGGUGCAAGCGUUGUCCGGAAUUAUUGGGCGUAAAGCGCGCGCAGGCGGUGAUUUAAGUUUGGUGUUUAAUCCCGGGGCUUAACCCCGGUUCGCAUCGAAAACUGGGUCACUUGAGUGUAAGAGAGGAAAGUGGAAUUCCACGUGUAGCGGUGAAAUGCGUAGAUAUGUGGAGGAACACCAGUGGCGAAGGCGACUUUCUGGACAUUAACUGACGCUGAGGCGCGAAAGCGUGGGGAGCAAACAGG
rnacentral:rRNA from 1 species